GCCGCGGUAGCUCAGCUGGGAGAGCGUUAGACUGAAGAUCUACAGGUCACCUGUUCAAGCCAGGUUCGUGGCA
rfam:Rhizoctonia solani isolate BBA 69670 genome assembly, contig: RSOLAG22IIIB_scaffold01180